rnacentral:misc_RNA from 1 species
GGAAAAGGGAAGAAACUCGGAACUCAUUUUAAGCUUGGAGCAUAGAAAGAGCGAGCUCGUCAACAAUUCUCUCUAAAGAUAAAUUUUAGAAGCAAAGAAUAUAAGAGCUCGGCGUUAUGGUUAGACAGAAAGGAGAAUCCGGCGGCCGGAGCAAGUAUCGUCCUUCAAGCAGCAGUCUCGCUGCUUCGCUGUUGCCGUCGGGUUCUGCCGCCGCCGUGGGAUUCGGUGGCUAUGUUGGUAGCUCUCGUCUCGAUACCUCUCUUUCUAGCGAAGAAGCAAGCGCCAUUUUGGAUAUAGAUAGUGAAGUUGCAGUGCACUUGAAGAGAUUGGCUAGGAAGGAUCCUACUACCAAGCUUAAAGCUCUGCAUUCUCUAUCUGUUCUGUUCAAGCAAAAGUCUGGAAAGGACUUGGUACUAAUUAUUCCACAAUGGGCAUUUGAAUACAAGAGGCUGUUGUUGGAUUAUAAUAGAGAAGUUCGGCGAGCCACUCAUGAAACCAUGAACAACCUUGUUGUUGCCGUUGGAAGAGAUUUAGCUCCACACCUGAAAUCUUUGAUGGGACCAUGGUGGUUUUCUCAAUUUGAUUCGGUUUCUGAAGUUUCUGUAGCUGCAAAGCAAUCACUACAGGCUGCCUUUCCAGCACAGGAAAAGAGAUUGGAUGCUUUAAUAUUGUGCACAACUGAGGUAUUCAUGUAUUUGGAGGAAAAUUUAAAGCUCACACCACAAAGUAUGUCAGAUAGAGCAGCUGCUUUGGAUGAAUUGGAGGACAUGCACCAGCAGGUGAUAUCUUCAUCCAUACUGGCAUUAGCCACGCUUCUUGAUGUUUUGGUUUGCAUGCAAUCUGAACGACCUGGAUUUGAAAAUUUACCUGCUGAAUCAAAGCAUGCUUCAAAGGCUAGAGUGACUGCUAUUUCUUUUGCUGAAAAGUUAUUCUCUGCCCACAAAUAUUUUCUUGACUUUCUGAAGUCCCAAAGCCCUGCAAUUCGUUCUGCUACAUAUUCAGCCCUAAAGAGUUUCAUUAAAAACAUUCCUCAUGCCUUCAACGAAGGAAAUAUGAAAACUCUUGCUGCUGCAAUACUUGGUGCAUUUCAGGAAAAGGAUCCUAGUUGUCAUUCGUCAGUGUGGGAUGCACUAUUGCUAUUUUCAAGAAAGUUUCCUGAAAGUUGGACUCUGUUGAAUGUUCAGAAAAUUGUGCUAAACCGGUUUUGGCAUUUUCUUAGGAAUGGGUGCUUUGGAUCUCAGCAGGUUUCUUAUCCAGCUUUGGUAAUAUUUUUGGAUAUUUUGCCUUCUAAAUCAGUAGAGGGAGAGAAGUUUUUUCUUGAAUUUUUCCAUAACCUAUGGGAUGGAAGGACCUUGUCCAAUUCAACAAGUUCUGCUAAUCUAGCAUUUUUCCGGGCAUUUAAAGAAUGUUUCCUUUGGGGAUUGCAUAAUGCAUCAAGGUAUUGUGAUAGUUUGGAUUCUUUACAUCAUUUUAGAGUCGCUCUCGUUGAUAAUAUAGUAGUGAAACUUCUGUGGCAAGAAUACCUGUUUGUUGGCUUCAAGAAUCAGAAUAGAGCAUCCUAUGGAAUGUCUAAGGAUCCUUCUGAGGAUGGCUGUUUAACUACUGACCAGAAGAUUGUGGAAUCAUUGAAUAUCAAGUAUCCUGUUAAUUAUUUGCAAGAGUCAGGAAAAUGCAUUGUGGAAAUUCUUUCAGGCAUUUAUUCAAUGGAACAUGAUCUACUUGCUACUUUUUGCAUGGCAUUUCAGGAGAAUUGCCUAAAGAUGUUUGAGCAAAAAGAGAACACAGGAAGAAAUACUGAAAAUUUUGAACCUGUCAUUAAAUUUUUGUCAUUGCUGGAACAGCAUUCAGUGCGAAAAGGUGAAACUUGGCCUUUGGUUUAUUUAGUGGGACCAAUGUUGGCCAAGUCUUUCCCAUUGAUAAGAUCUCAUGACAUACCAGAUGGUUUGAGGCUUCUGUCAGUUGCAGUUUCAUUAUUUGGACCGCGUAAGAUAGUCCAGGAACUUUUCUUCUGCAAUGAAAAUCAUUGCUCUUCUUCCCUCGCAGAUGAUAGGGACAAAGAAUUGGAACCAGAGUCUUUCAUGAAAGUGUUCAAAGAAACAUUUGUUCCAUGGUGUCUGGUUGGAUAUAAUACCUCCAGCAGUACUCGACUUGAUCUCUUGCUUGCAUUUCUCAAUGAUGAAUAUUUCUCUGAGCAGUGGAGUGCAAUUAUUUCUCAUGCAAUUUGUCAAGCACAUAAAACUGAGCCUGGGUCCCUAGAAUCUGACUACUUAGUUCUGUUGGCAAUGCUUUUAGAGAAAGCAAGGUUUGAAAUUGCAAACAGGAGACUUGAAGAAGAUUCUAAUCGUCGGCACUGGUCCAACCCAGAUGACUGGCAUCAUGAUCUUCUUGAAUCAACUGUAGUUGCUGUCGCUAGCUCCUCUUUUCCCUUGGGAGCUUCAUCUGCUCAGUUUGUGUGUGCUGUUCUUGGUGGCUUGACAGAAGACGAUCAAAUCUCUUUUGUGUCCAGAAGUGCAAUGAUUUUGGUAUAUAAGGAGGUUUCCAAAAAGUUGCUUGCUUUUAUUUAUGAGUCCCCUUUCUGUUCAGUUAGGGAUUCAGGUUGUCUUUUAAUAGCUGGAGCAAACAAUUUUUCGGUGGAUGGUGGGAUUUCUACAAAUGUGAUUAAGAUAGCUCAGUUUGCAUUGGAUGUACUUGGUGGUAGUUUAUAUUGCUUAAAAACAUUCAGUGAGGAAAUUGGGCUAGUUUCAGAUGUUUUGGCUCCAGUGUUUAUCAUGAACUGGGAACACAGCAUGGAAGCAACAAUAGAUGAUGCAUUUGAUGAAUCAAAGGAGAAAAUUAAGGGCCGGUCUGAGAUUAGUGAGUCUAUGCAUAGAUUUCACGGCAAGAUAAAUGACAAAUUUUGGAAAAGCCUCAGCAUUGACAUUCUGAAUAGAUUGGGGAGUAUCUUAGUUCAGUUUAUUAGGUCUGUUGUAUUCAAGGAAGGUAAGCUUAAUGCGAAUAGCAUCACUUCUUUGUGCUGCAAAUGGAUGCUUGAAGUUCUUGAUUGUCUCUGCUGUGAUCAAUAUGAGGAACAAUAUCUGUUAGACCAGCUUCUGAGGAAAGAAGAUACAUGGCCAUCAUGGAUUGUUCCAGACUUCAUUGCCCAAGAAGGGUCUUCUUCGUUGAAUACCAUUGAUGUUUCCACUGAUAUCAUUGCAUAUGGGACUCACAAGUUUGUUUCUUUAAUCGACAAACUUAUAUUCAAGAUUGGGCUUGAUAGAGUUUUUGCAGUUUAUGUAGAACAUAACCCUUCAUCUCCUUCGAAUAAACCAACCAAUGAAGAGCUUACUGCUCGAGCCUGGCUUGCUGCUGAAAUUUUAUGCACAUGGGAAUGGCCAGGAGGCAGUGCUACAACUUCUUUCUUGCCCCUUCUAAGUGCAUUUUCCAAGACUUUGAAUUAUAUUUCCCAGGAAAGCCUGUUGGAUUCCAUCUUCAGCAUUUUACUUGGUGGUGCUCUUGUUCAUGGAGAAAGUGGUACUUACUGUUCAUUCAAUUUGUGGUCUGCUAUAGGUGAUGAAUUGGACAAAAUUAAAGAACCUUUUUUGAGAGCUCUUUUGUCAUUGCUCAACACUCUGUUCAAAGAUCAUGUAUGGGAAGGAAACAAAGCUAUGAAACUUUUUGAGUUGCUCGUCAAUAAGCUUUACAUAGGUGAAGCAAUAAACCAGAAUUGUUUGAAGAUUCUUCCUCUGAUUGUCAGCAUUCUUGUUCAACCUCUAUGUAGGAGAAGCAUCGUACCUGGUGAAUCUAGUGGCGACGUUGAACUUAAUAAUUCAGGUGAAAAUUGGAUACGGGAUACCAUUAAAGAUUGGCUUCAAAGGAUUCUAUUGUUCCCGCCUAUUGUUUCAUGGCAAACAGGACAAGAUAUGGAAGAAUGGUUCCAGCUGGUUAUUGCUUGUUAUCCUUUUAGUGCAAUGGGCAGUACUAAAUCAUUGAAGCUGGAGAGAGACAUAAGCCUUGAAGAGAGAGAACUCAUACUUGAUUUAUUUCGAAAGCAGAGACACAAUGCUAGUGUCUUGGCAGCAGGUAAUCAGUUGCAAAUGGCACAGAUGGUGCUGUCAAAGUUAAUGGUUAUUUCUGUUGGUUAUUGCGGGAAAGAUUUUACUGAGGAAGACUGGGAGUUUUUCUUUUUGCAAUUGAGGUCUUGGAUUCAGUCAGCUGUUGUGAUUAUGGAGGAAGUUGCAGAAAAUGUGAAUGAUCUUAUCACUGACAACUCUAGUUCUGAAAUUUCGGAUGUUCUUAGGAAUCUUGAGCAGCUUGUUUGGAUCUCAGACCUUGGUCCUAUAAAUGUUGCUAUUAAUGCGCUAGCAUCGUUUUCUUUGUUUUGUGGGGUCUUGAGACAUCAACAACCAGAUAUGAAUCCAAACCCCCUGAGGCUGGAAAGAUGGAAUCCAGUUAGAGAUCGAAUCCUGGAAGGUAUUCUUCGCUUGUUCUUUUGCACUGGCAUUGCUGAGGCGAUUGCAAGUUCUUAUUGUCAUGAAGCUGCAUCAAUUACAGCCACAUCUCGGCUCGAUAAUCCCUACUUCUGGGAGUUGGUGGCUUCAAAUGUUAUUAACUCGUCACCACAUGUUAGAGACAGAGCAGUGAAAUCAGUUGAAUUUUGGGGGCUAGGCAAAGGCCCUAUAAGCUCUUUGUAUGCAAUUCUGUUCUCCUCUAUACCAGUUCCACCAUUGCAGUUUGCUGCUUAUGUUAUUCUCUCAACAGAACCUGUUUCACAUUUGGCUAUCAUCGAAGAAGAUGCUGCUUGUUCCUUGGAUGGCGAUAUUAGUGGCAACCUGGAUUCAUGUCAGCUUGAACUGUCAUCAGAAAAAAAUGUUCACUUGAAGGAGGAAUUAUCUUGUGUGAUUGAAAAACUACCUUAUGAGGUUCUUGAAAUGGAUUUCACUGCACAUCAAAGGGUAAACGUCUUCCUUGCUUGGUCUUUGUUGCUAUCACAUUUGUGGUCAUUACCAUCACUGUCAGCUGCAAGGGAGCAAUUGGUCCAGUAUGUACAAGAUUCGGCUAAUUCAGUGAUCCUAGAUUGCCUCUUCCAGCAUAUUCCUUUGGAAUUGUGCAUGGCACAAAGUCUUAAAAAGAAAGAUGUGGAUCUUCCUGCUGGGGCAUCAGAGGUUGCAAGUGCAGCAACAUCUGCCAUAACAACAGGUUCAUUAUUGUUCUCUGUGGAAUCAUUAUGGCCUAUUGCACCUGAGAAAAUGGCUUCACUUGCAGGGGCAUUAUUUGGUUUGAUGCUCCGUGUUCUUCCUGCUUAUGUUCGAGGUUGGUUUACUGAUUUACAUGACCGUUCAACAUCAUCUCUAAUUGAAGCAUUUACAAGAACGUGGUGCAGUCCUCCCCUAAUUAUGAAUGAACUGUCCCAGAUAAAGCAAUUCAAUUUUGCUGAUGAGAAUUUUUCAGUCAGCGUAAGCAAAUCAGCAAAUGAGGUAGUUGCUACAUAUACAAAGGAUGAGACUGGAAUGGAUCUAGUUAUUCGUCUUCCUGCAUCUUACCCAUUACGUCCUGUGGAUGUUGAUUGUAUGAGAAGCCUUGGCAUUAGUGAAGUAAAGCAGCGGAAAUGGUUGAUGUCAAUGAUGCUGUUUGUUCGUAAUCAGAAUGGCGCGCUAGCUGAAGCUAUACGGAUAUGGAAGAGCAAUUUUGACAAGGAAUUUGAAGGUGUUGAGGAGUGCCCCAUAUGUUACAGUGUUAUCCACACUGCCAACCAUAGUCUUCCUCGCCUUGCAUGCAGAACUUGCAAGCACAAAUUCCAUGCUGCCUGCCUAUACAAGUGGUUCUCAACCUCUCACAAAUCAUCUUGUCCAUUGUGCCAGUCUCCAUUUUGAACUAGGCAUCACGUAAAAGUUGAAUUUCAUGGAUCUUGCCUCACAGUAAUCUGACGAUGUGAAGAAGUUCAGGAAAAUAGAUGUAUAGUUCAUACAAAACUUGGAAGCUUCCCCCUCGUAAAUCUCGCAUUCCCACCCACAUGGGUGUGCACAUCCUUGGCUCCGAUAUUUUGAGUGGUAUCGGUCUAGUAGUGGCCAACCUCAUUCCUUUAAUGGGAGAGCAUAGAGGAUACAUAGAAAAUGGUAAGAUAUCGGUUCUAUGAAAACAAUACUUUGGGGUGUCAGUGUUAUUAGAGAACUUGUGAUCUCCAUACAAAAAUGAGGAAGCUGCCUUGACUUCACUUAAGGGCACUAGUAUUUGCAUGCUCUGUUGAGCAGAUUGCUCAGCAGUAAUGGAUAGACUCAAAUCUUUUUAGCUUCAAAUUUCUUCAAGAUCACUUCUGCUGGGCUGAGCUGCUCUAGUGUUUUGAAGUGAGGGCUUGUUCUUUGUUCACACAAGAUUUUCAAGAAGCUAAUUAAUUGGCGGUAAAAAUUGCUGUUGGCCCUCAUCUCAUAUCUUCAACCGAGUCAACCUGACAGCAAAGAGUAUAUAGGUUUUUAUGAACCAUUUGAGAAUUUUGGAUAAAAAAUAUGAUUUUCGUUCUAAGCAACAUUGGGAAUAAAGUUCUAAGCAAUAUUUUAAAGAAGUAUGGAUUGUUUCUGUUUGAGGUGGCAACGGUAUCUGCUCAAUCAUAU